AAUUUCACUCACAGCAGGCACU
rnacentral:miRNA from 7 species